rnacentral:tRNA from 1 species
AAGAUGCUAGUAUAACAAGUACCCUGCCUUGUCAAGGCAAAAUUGUGGGUUAGACCCCCACGUAUCUUA